GCUUACGGCCAUACCAACCUGGCUAUGCCCGAUCUCGUCUGAUCUCGGAAGCUAAGCAGGUUUGGGCCUGGUUAGUACUUGGAUGGGAGACUUCCUGGGAAUACCAGGUGCUGUAAGCU
rnacentral:rRNA from 1 species